GGCGCAGGCGGCCUUUCAAGUUGGAUGUAAAAUCUCCCGGCUCAACUGGGAGGGACCAUUCAAUACUGUUGGACUGGAGGAUAGCAGAGGAAGACGGAAUUCCCGGUGUAGUGGUGAAAUGCGUAGAUAUCGGGAGGAACACCAGUGGCGAAGGCAGUCUUCUGGGCUAUUUCUGACGCUGAGGCCCGAAAGCGUGGGGAGCGAACAGGAUUAGAUACCCUGGUAGUCC
rnacentral:rRNA from 1 species